rnacentral:rRNA from 1 species
CACGUAGGGGGCGAGCGUUGCCCGGAUUUAUUGGGCGUAAAGAGCUCGUAGGCGGUUUGUCGCGUCGAAUGUGAAAACCCGGGGCUCAACCCCGGGCCUGCAUUCGAUACGGGCAGACUAGAGUUCGGUAGGGGAGUCUGGAAUUCCUGGUGUAGCGGUGAAAUGCGCAGAUAUCAGGAGGAACACCGGUGGCGAAGGCGGGACUCUGGGCCGAUACUGACGCUGAGGAGCGAAAGCGUGGGGAGCAAACAGG